GGUCCAAAUUUGAAGGAGAUUAGAUUAGUACGAUCAGUUGACCUUACUAAACUACUCCACUUUAAGUUUGUGUCA
rnacentral:pre_miRNA from 1 species